rnacentral:rRNA from 1 species
UACGAAGGGGGCUAGCGUUGUUCGGAAUUACUGGGCGUAAAGCGUAUGCAGACGGAUCGUUAAGUCGGGGGUGAAAUCCCGAGGCUCAACCUCGGAACUGCCUUCGAUACUGGCGACCUUCGAGUCCGGGAGAGGUGAGUGGAACUCCGAGUGUAGAGGUGAAAUUCGUAGAUAUUCGGAAGAACACCAGUGGCGAAGGCGGCUCACUGGCCCGGUACUGACGCUGAGAUACGAAAGCGUGGGGAGCAAACAGG